UACGGAGGGUGCAAGCGUUGUCCGGAAUCACUGGGCGUAAAGGGCGCGUAGGCGGCUCAUGAAGGCUGUGGUGAAAGUCCGGGGCUCAACCUCGGAUCGGCCGUGGCGACUCGUGGGCUGGAGCACUGUAGAGGUGGGUGGAAUUCCGGGUGUGGCGGUGGAAUGCGUAGAGAUCCGGAAGAACACCGGUGGCGAAGGCGGUUGGCUGGGCCACACCUGACACUGAGGCGCGACAGCGUGGGGAGCAAACAGG
rnacentral:rRNA from 1 species